AUGAUUUCUCACAUGCAAACAAUUUUUCUCUUGCAGAAUGAACAAGUGCAAAUAGUUACUUAUGCAUUCCUGACGAAAGACGCCCAUGAAUUUUUCCCCCCACAUAGCGAGACCAUUGACCCAUCAGUGUCCCUAUGCAACCCCAGCCUCAUUUCCAUGUUUUGUGCAUUAUGGAGGAGCUCCUUGGCCAGUAGAAGAUGUAAAGGAUGAAGAUUCAUUAUUGCCAGCUGUGAAGUAGCAACAUGUUAGUUUUAAUUCAUUUAGAAUACCAAAAAAAAAAAAGUUUUAGAUGUUUCCCUUCAAGUGCAGAUGUGAUAGAGUGUGAUUAUUUCAAACUCUUCAAAUUCUACAACAAAUUGUGAGGACAAUGAGAGCAGUGUGCCAGUCGAUCCAAGUGUGGUCUUUGUACCAUUUGGGCGUAUGGGAAUCAUUCUGGAGUUUGCCUGCUAGCACUCCUCUGUACAUCAGUAAAAGAACUAGUCAGUGCUAAAGAAAACCCAGAGCAGAGCAAACUUAGGGUCUGGCUCCAUCUUAUGCUGGAAUCUGGAGUUAUAAAGCAGCUAGAAGCAGAUGCUCAGAUAUUUAGCUCUUUAAAACAAGUGGAAAUCAGGCCACGCUUACCUGUAAAGCUUUGCUGUUCUGGGAAUUUCCAGAAGCACUUAAGUACCAAAUUUUUCCUAAGAAAGCUUUGAACUUGGGGGGUUGAGCAUUGCUUUCAGGUACCUAUCUAUGUGCUUGGGUAUCUACAUAUCACCAAGAUUCCUGCCUGUGGAGGGAUGACCUCAUUGAAUCACAACAGGUAAGUGGCAUCACAACUGGUAACUACUUAAACAAUCUCCCUGAUGCCCCAAGCAGUAGAAGCCCUCUUGUGCUAGAGAUGUCCCCUUUUGAUUGCUUGGGACCAUUCAUAAUCCCAUGGCUUUUUUCACAAAAUACAUCAGCCUGCAAUUUAAUUGCAAGCCUAAGCUGCAGCACCAGCACAGCUGGUAUUUGAAAUGGUAGAUGAUGGUUUGGUGAGGCUGAGGGGAGAAGGGCAGGAGGGCUGGACCCCACUCAGGUGGCAAUGGCAGCUCCUCCCCCACCAGUCAAGGAUAACACAGCCUAUGCCACAUCUGUCCGGAUUUCCUCCCUGUUGUGGUAAAUUACUGUCAUUAUAAGCGAAGAAAAAACUUUUUUAAAGGGCAAUGAAUUAAGCAAAACCAAAGCCAGA
rnacentral:lncRNA from 1 species